UAGGGAAUCUUCCACAAUGGACGAAAGUCUGAUGGAGCAACGCCGCGUGAGUGAAGAAGGUUUUCGGAUCGUAAAGCUCUGUUGUUGGUGAAGAAGGAUAGAGGCAGUAACUGGUCUUUAUUUGACGGUAAUCAACCAGAAAGUCACGGCUAACUACGUGCCAGCAGCCGCGGUAAUACGUAGGUGGCAAGCGUUGUCCGGAUUUAUUGGGCGUAAAGCGAGCGCAGGCGGAAUGAUAAGUCNGAUGUGAAAGCCCACGGCUCAACCGUGGAACUGCAUCGGAAACUGUCAUUCUUGAGUGCAGAAGAGGAGAGUGGAACUCCAUGUGUAGCGGUGGAAUGCGUAGAUAUAUGGAAGAACACCAGUGGCGAAGGCGGCUCUCUGGUCUGCAACUGACGCUGAGGCUCGAAAGCAUGGGUAGCGAACAGGAUUAGAUACCCUGGUAGUCCAUGCCGUAAACGAUGAGCGCUAGGUGUU
rnacentral:rRNA from 1 species